rnacentral:rRNA from 1 species
GUGACGCUGGCGGCGUGCUUACACANCGCAAGUCUUACGGUGAACACGGAGCUUGCUCUGUGGGAUCAGUGGCGAACGGGUGAGUAACACGUGAGCAACCUACCCCUGACUCUGGGAUAAGCGCUGGAAACGGCGUCUAAUACUGGAUAUGUGAUGCGACCGCAUGGUCUGUAUCUGGAAAGAAUUUCGGUUGGGGAUGGGCUCGCGGCCUAUCAGCUUGUUGGUGAGGUAAUGGCUCACCAAGGCGUCGACGGGUAGCCGGCCUGAGAGGGUGACCGGCCACACUGGGACUGAGACACGGCCCAGACUCCUACGGGAGGCAGCAGUGGGGAAUAUUGCACAAUGGGCGCAAGCCUGAUCCAGCAACGCCGCGUGAGGGACGACGGCCUUCGGGUUGUAAACCUCUUUUAGCAGGGAAGAAGCGAAAGUGACGGUACCUGCAGAAAAAGCACCGGCUAACUACGUGCCAGCAGCCGCGGUAAUACGUAGGGUGCAAGCGUUAUCCGGAAUUAUUGGGCGUAAAGAGCUCGUAGGCGGUUUGUCGCGUCUGCUGUGAAACUCCCGGGAGGCUCAACCUCCGGCCUGCCAGUGGGUAACGGGCCAGACUAAAGUUGCGGGUAGGGGGAGAAUUGGCANAUUCCCUGGUUGUAGCGGUGGAAUGCGCAGAUUCGGAGGAAACACCGGAUGGCGGAGGCAGUCUCUGGGGCCGUAACCUGACG